rnacentral:rRNA from 1 species
UGGGGAAUUUUGCACAAUGGGGCAAACCCUGAUGCAGCGACGCCGCGUGAUUUAGAAGGCCUUCGGGUUGUAAAAAUCUUUUUUACGGGAUGAAAAUGACAGUACCGUAAGAAUAAGGUCCGGCUAAAUACGUGCCAGCAGCCGCGGUAAUACGUAUGGACCGAGCGUUGUCCGGAAUCAUUGGGCGUAAAGGGUACGUAGGCGGCCUAGUAAGUUAGAAGUGAAAUAAUAUAGCUCAACUAUAUAAAGCUUUUAAAACUGCUAGGCUUGAGAGAUGGAAGGGAAAGUGGAAUUCCUAGUGUAGCGGUGAAAUGCGCAGAUAUUAGGAAGAAUACCGGUGGCGAAGGCGACUUUCUGGUCAUCAUCUGACGCUGGGGUACGAAAGCGUGGGUAGCAAACAGG